GAUGAACGCUGGCGGCGUGCCUAAUACAUGCAAGUCGAGCGAACAGAUGAGGAGCUUGCUCCUCUGACGUUAGCGGCGGACGGGUGAGUAACACGUGGAUAACCUACCUAUAAGACUGGGAUAACUUCGGGAAACCGGAGCUAAUACCGGAUAAUAUAUUGAACCGCAUGGUUCAAUAGUGAAAUACGGUUUUGCUGUCACUUCUAGAUGGAUCCCCGCCGCAUUAGCUAGUUGGUAAGGUAACGGCUUACCAAGGCAACGAUGCGUAGCCGACCUGAGAGAGUGAUCGGCCACACUGGAACUGAGACACGGUCCAGACUCCUACGGGAGGCAGCAGUAGGGAAUCUUCCGCAAUGGGCGAAAGCCUGACGGAGCAACGCCGCGUGAGUGAUGAAGGUCUUCGGAUCGUAAAACUCUGUUAUUAGGGAAGAACAAAUGUGUAAGUAACUAUGCACGUCUUGACGGUACCUAAUCAGAAAGCCACGGCUAACUACGUG
rnacentral:rRNA from 1 species